UACGUAGGAGGCAAGCGUUGUCCGGAAUUACUGGGCGUAAAGCGCGUGUAGGUGGUGGGACAAGUCUGCUGUGAAAGCGCCUGGCUUAACCGGGCGAGGUCGGCGGAAACUGUUCGACUCGAGGACGGUAGAGGGGGGUGGAAUUCCCGGUGUAGUGGUGAAAUGCGUAGAGAUCGGGAGGAACACCUGUGGCGAAGGCGGCCCCCUGGCCUGUUCUUGACGCUGGAGGCGCGAAAGCUAGGGGAGCAAACGGG
rnacentral:rRNA from 1 species